rnacentral:rRNA from 1 species
GAUGAACGCUGGCGGCGUGCCUAAUACAUGCAAGUCGAGCGAACAGACGAGGAGCUUGCUCCCCUGACGUUAGCGGCGGACGGGCGAGUAACACGUGCAUAACCUACCUAUAUGACUGGGAUAACUUCGGGAAACCGGAGCUAAUACCGGAUAAUAUAUUCAACCGCAUGGUUCAAUAGUGAAAGACGGUUUUCCCGUCUCUUUUAGAUGGAUCCGGGCUGGAUUAGGUAGUUGGUAAGGUAACGGCUUACCAAGGCAACGGUGCGUAGCCGACCUGAGAGGGUGAUCGGCCAAACUUGAACUGGAGCAAGGUCCCGGCCCCUAAGGGAGGCAGGAGGAGGGAAUCUUCCGCAAAGGGCGACAGCUUGACGGCGCAACGCCGCGUGAGUGAUGAAGGUCUUCGGAUCGUAAAACUCUGUUAUUAGGGAAAAAAAAGUGUGUAAGUAACUAUGCGCGUCUUGACGGUACCUAAUCAGAUAACCACGGCUAACUACGUG